UUUUACGGAGAGUUUGAUCCUGGCUCAGGACGAACGCUGGCGGCGUGCUUAACACAUGCAAGUCGAGCGGUAAGGCCUUUCGGGGUACACGAGCGGCGAACGGGUGAGUAACACGUGGGUGAUCUGCCCUGCACUCUGGGAUAAGCUUGGGAAACUGGGUCUAAUACCGGAUAUGACCGCAUGCCGCAUGGUGUGUGGUGGAAAGAUUUAUCGGUGCAGGAUGGGCCCGCGGCCUAUCAGCUUGUUGGUGGGGUAAUGGCCUACCAAGGCGACGACGGGUAGCCGACCUGAGAGGGUGACCGGCCACACUGGGACUGAGA
rnacentral:rRNA from 1 species